CUUGUCGAGAGCGAGGGGGAUGUUGUGGCGUCGGGAGGAAGUUUUGACAUGUUGUUGUUGUGAGGGCUCCAUGGUGAGAGCAAUCAGCUCACGGAAACUUUGAGCGUGGGUGAGAAGUUUGGCUGGAAUUCCAGUGCAGGAAAUCCAUCAUCCAUUUGAAUGACUCCAGAGGCAGUCUGUGACCCGGUUUAAAUGGAUGGCAGCAUCUGAGUUUCUGCUCUUCACGCUCAACACUUUGGAGACUGAUUGGACAUCCUCCACACUUAAUGGUCGCCGGCGGUCCAUUCAUACAAGGUGUUUCCGUGAAUGGCUUUUUGGAAGAAUCCCAUCAGGAAAAUCCAAAACAAGGCACAUUGUGUGGCGGCCCCUUGUGGCCGGUGUAAUUUGAACGGACAGCGACGUGAAUGAGGUCCAUUCUGCCGUAGCCGCUUUCAUUUGGCCAUGAUGAAUAGCGCUCUGUGCCACAGGAGAGCGGUCACUCACACUGAGGAUCAUGGCCGGCUGGCAGAGGGCUUUUCGUGCCGUUACAGGUUAUUAAUCGGCGGGUCGCUUCCCUCUGGUGCUUCUUGCCAGAGAUGGAGGACUUGACACGGCCAGAGGUGCCAUGCUGGAGGAGGGUAUCGCAGUCUGGGAGCUGGGCCUUCACAUUCAGCCCAGAACAAAAGGCUUUCUUGUGAUAGAUUGGCAGAGCUUUUCUCUACGCCUCUGCCUCCACAGGCCUCUUCUGCCCAUUUCUUUAGUAAUGCUCUUGUUAGUGCACCGCAGUUUCCUGACCGCUGGUUUCAUUUCUGGUUGUGGAAAAAAGCUGUCACUGUUAGGCAAGAGCACAGCACUAUUUAAGAGUGAUUCAUUUGAUGUCUUGUUGUGCUUUUUCAAGGUGAUAUGUGGUUUUGAUGUGUAUUUUUAAGCUCUAAUAUGACUAGUGACUGGCUUUAUGCUUCUUGGUUACACUAUUGUUCUUUUAUUUAUUUAUUUAUUUAUUAAGAAAUUCCUUGCCAAUUUAAAGAAAAUUCAAUUUGGCAAGGAUCAAUUAAACUGAUUAAAAGUGACUGUAAAGACUCUUACAGUGUUACAAAAAGUAUCAUUGACGAAACUGAAAAUUUAAAUAUAUUAAAUAAAUAUAUUAAUUUUUAAAUAUAUUAAAAUAAAAAAAACUGUUAUUUUAAGAUGUAGUAAUAUUUCACAGUAUUACUGUUUUUAGUUUUGAUUUUGUAUUUUUGAUCAAAUAAAGAAAUGUAAUAAUAGUUUAAUAAAUAUUUAUUUGUUGUUUUCUACUCUGUUACUGUUCACAGGGAAUGGCAGCAUUGUGGUUUAAAAUGUAAUUUCAUAUUAAUUUAAUAUUUAAUUUAUUUUUAAUGCACAAUAUAUUUUACUAAAUCUUUUGAUAUUAGACUUUAUUUUAUCAGUAUCGGUCAAUUUAAUUGUUUAUGCUCUAUUUUUGUGCUCUAUUUUUACAUUUAUAUGUAUUGUAUUAUUACAAUAGUAUUAUUGUACAGUCUAAUUUUGUUUAAAUGAAACAUUCCCUUUUAAUAAUUAAAAUGAUUGGUUUUUAGUGUUUUAAUUUAUUUAGUCAAAUA